UACGAAGGGGGCUAGCGUUGCUCGGAAUCACUGGGCGUAAAGGGUGCGUAGGCGGGUCUUUAAGUCAGGGGUGAAAUCCUGGAGCUCAACUCCAGAACUGCCUUUGAUACUGAAGAUCUUGAGUCCGGGAGAGGUGAGUGGAACUGCGAGUGUAGAGGUGAAAUUCGUAGAUAUUCGCAAGAACACCAGUGGCGAAGGCGGACUCACUGGCC
rnacentral:rRNA from 1 species